ACUCGGGUAGCUCAGUGGAUAGAGCAAGUUCCUGCUAAGAACUAGGUCGUGGGUUCGAGUCCCACCCCGAGGACCA
rnacentral:tRNA from 1 species